rnacentral:lncRNA from 1 species
UUUAUGGAUUUACGGAUUUUUACGGAUUUACAGAAGUAAAUCUAUAUCCAAUCCACCGACUAUGGAUUUUUAAAUUUUCAAUUAAAUCCAAUCUACCAAUCCAUGCAUCAGAUUUUUACGGAUCAGAUUUUUGUGGAUUGGACGAUUUGAGUGGAUCAGAUUGGAUUCUGAACACCCUUAGUUAACUUCCUCUUGAUAGCUUCCAUCAUAUUUCUAAACUUUGAAGUAUUUGUAAUAUGCCUGGGAAAUGCUCGGAUGCCAACAUUUUCAUCAAAUCUAGUUUCUUCUUUAGAGUGGGUGGAUUACGCUUUUCCCGUGAUUUUUUGGCCGUUGUAUUUGUAGCAAAUUUUAAAUUGUGUUUGUUCCUUGCAUUCAUUAAACUCAAAAUAGAAAUAAACACAUACAUAAACUGGUGUGAUUUUGAGUUGCUAUGUUUUUUAUUUGCCAGUCACCUAAAAAUACUUACUGCGUUUUGUCGUUUGUGUGAUAAAGCUCCCUUGGUGCGACAUGGUGAGCUUCGCAUUGAACAUGGAUUCGCACCAAGCCAUCAUUAACCCACAACACCUUAACCUAUAAAAAAUGACUGAACAAAGUCGAAUAGGUAUUUCAACAAACAUGUCGUAUGCCAUUUCUCUCAAAUCUUAAUUUCAUUAAGUACUUUUCAAAAUUCAUAGAAAAAUAACCCAAAUACUCAUCUAUCAUGAAAUAUACACUCAACUAUAUUCAAAUGACGGUGCACUUUUAAGGAAAUGGAAAAAAAAAAUUACUUUGGGAGAUGAAGCUAUCGGAAAUGAAGUUGUCAUUAAACGCCCGUCGAACUACUAUCAAUUGUUACCAGAAAAGUCAAGACCUAGCUGUUGGAUUUAUAAGAAAACAGAAGGUUCAUUUUUUUUUUUUAUUUGGAAUGACAAGAAUACUGUUGUUCAAAAUUGUUGAAAUUGGCUACAUAGGAUAGAAAAAAUUAAGGUGGCUAAUUUUAAAAGGUCCUAAAACAUUUGAGCCAUUUUUGUAAAUUUCUCAUGGAAGUAUAGGAAUUGUUAAUAUACAUGAUCAUAUACCAUACAUUAACACCACAAUUGUAAUAACACAAAAUAGAAUCAAUAAAAACUACAUUUAUGUAAUUGAUAGCAACUAUGAGAUUGAUGUAUGGUAUGUGAUAGUAUACUAGAACAAGGUCCGUGGAAGUAUCCUUCCAUUGAACUAAUGUAAAUUUUUUUUAUCUAUAUAUU